GCUUUUUUGUUACACUGCCAUCUAUGGGAACUACAGGGGGAAAUAAGUAAAUUUACAGUUUAAACAGUCAAUACAGUCUAGUGAUUUCCCUUUAGCCUUUCAACCCUUCCCCCUCCAGGGGGGAGUCAUUUGAGUGGACUCAUUGUUUCAGCUGUAAAUUUAUUUAUUUCUCCCCUGUAGUUCACAUAGAUGGCAGUGUAACAAAAAAGCAAAAAACUCAAGGAAAUACUGUAGUGUAAAAAGAUGUUAAUAAACACAUAACAUGACCGAAAAAUCAUUCUGCUCUCAACAUAAAACAGACGCAAUAUUAAUUUCAGAACCCUUAUUGAUUUGUAAACAAGAAUUUGUGCCGAUCUUUUCAUGGACUUCCCAUACAAAAAGCUUCACCAAUUUUGAAUUUACCAACAGAAAGGUUAGCAACGGACCCAAUGGAUUAGUGACUCAUAAUCCCGAGAUUUUCUUACGAGCACAUGGAACUGUUCAACACCUCAACAAAAGUGGAAAACGUGAUGGAAUAAACCGGCCUAGGAAUUAUUAAUGUGGAAGUUUGUUUCAAACAAAGAACACACGUAAAAGAUACUCGGAUAUUCCACGCUUAUCGAUUAGCGAGUAGAAUUUGAGAAAAUUUACUAACAGAAAGGUUAGCAACUGACUCUAUGGAUAAGUGACUCAUAAUCCCGAGAUUUCCUUACGGGCAAAAGGAACUGGUCAACACCUCCUAAAAUCACCCAAAUUGUACCCUUGGUUUCCAUUUGGAGAAAACAAAAGGGAAACAUGUAAUUUCCGCCUCAACAGCUGAAGGAAUCAAGAAAAAGUCCGAAGUGGCUGGUUUGGUGUCUGGUACUUCACUAGGUGUCGCCAAAGCAGCAUUGAAGAAGCCUAUUUUUAUUGAAAAGACGAUUGUUUCUUUUAAAAAAGUAACCCCCGAAAAACCCAAAUACAAGGUGAUUUGGGUCGAACAAAAAGUGCCAAUCAUGACUCAAGAGCCAGCAACUCCUAUGGAACUCUACAAAAAAGAAACAAAGGUACAUGUUAAAAAAACAAAUAUGUUAAAAUUAAGUGUUAAACCUUAUUUCAAAGGCUAUUUUAAAGGUAAAACCUUUGGAAAAAUUUUAGGUUAAUUGUAUUAACUCCAACAAACUUGUAUUUAAAAUUAUAUUCAAUAAAUAAUUUUCUUUAUUAUAAA